GAUGAACGCUGGCGGCGUGCCUAAUACAUGCAAGUCGAGCGAACAGACGAGGAGCUUGCUCCUCUGACGUUAGCGGCGGACGGGUGAGUAACACGUGGAUAACCUACCUAUAAGACUGGGAUAACUUCGGGAAACCGGAGCUAAUACCGGAUAAUAUAUUGAACCGCAUGGUUCAAUAGUGAAAGACGGUUUUGCUGUUACUUAUAGAUGGAUCCGCGCCGCAUUAGCUAGUUGGUAAGGUAACGGCUUACCAAGGCAACGAUGCGUAGCCGACCUGAGAGGGUGAUCGGCCACCAUGGAACUGAGCCACGGUCCAGACUCCUACGGGAGGCAGCAGUAGGGAAUCUUCCGCAAUGGGCGAAAGCCUGACGGAGCAACGCCGCGUGAGUGAUGAAGGUCUUCGGAUCGUAAAACUCUGUUAUUAGGGAAGAACAAAUGUGUAAGUAACUAUGCACGUCUUGACGGUACCUAAUCAGAAAGCCACGGCUAACUACGUG
rnacentral:rRNA from 1 species